UACGAGUGCCCCAAGCGUUAUCCGGAAUUAUUGGGCGUAAAGGGUGUGUAGGCGGUUGUGUUAGUCUUUUGUUAAAUUCUUCGGCUUAACCGGGGGCAUGCAGAAGAAACGGCACAACUAGAGGAUGCGAGAGGUGAAUGGAACUCAUGGAGUAGGGGUGAAAUCCGUUGAUAUCAUGGGGAACACCAAAUGCGAAGGCAAUUCACUGGCGCACUACUGACGCUGAGACACGAAAGCGUAGGUAGCGAAUGGG
rnacentral:rRNA from 1 species